rnacentral:rRNA from 1 species
CCUACGGGAGGCAGCAGUGAGGAAUAUUGGGCAAUGGACGAGAGUCUGAACCAGCCAAGUAGCGUGAAGGAUGACUGCCCUAUGGGUUGUAAACUUCUUUUAUAUGGGAAUAAAAUGUUCCACGUGUGGGAUUUUGUAUGUACCAUAUGAAUAAGGAUCGGCUAACUCCGUGCCAGCAGCCGCGGUAAUACGGAGGAUCCGAGCGUGAUCCGGAUUUAUUGGGUUUAAAGGGAGCGUAGGUGGUUUGUUAAGUCAGUUGUUAAAGUUUGCGGCUCAACCGUAAAAUUGCAGUUGAAACUGGCAGUCUUGAGUACAGUAGAGGUGGGCGGAAUUCGUGGUGUAGCGGUGAAAUGCUUAGAUAUCACGAAGAACUCCGAUUGCGAAGGCAGCUCACUGGACUGCAACUGACACUGAGGCUCGAAAGUGUGGGUAUCAAACAGGAUUAGAUACCCCAGUAGUC